rnacentral:rRNA from 1 species
UCGAACGAGAAAGUGGAGCAAUCCAUGAGUACAGUGGCGACCGGGUGAGUAACACGUGACCAACCUGCCCUCGAGUGGGGAAUAACUCCGGGAAACCGGGGCUAAUACCGCAUAACAUCCUCGGAUCGGAAGAACUGGGGAUCAAAGGAGCAAUUCGCUUGAGGAGGGGGUCGCGGCUGAUUAGCUAGUUGGCGGGGUAACGGCCCACCAAGGCAAAGAUCGGUAUCCGGCCUGAGAGGGCGCACGGACACACUGGAACUGAAACACGGUCCAGACUCCUACGGGAGGCAGCAGUGGGGAAUUUUGCGCAAUGGGGAAACCCUGACGCAGCAACGCCGCGUGGAGGAUGAAGUCCCUUGGGACGUAGACUCCUUUCGACCGGGACGAUAAUGACGGUACCNGGUGGAAGAAGCACCGGCUAACUCUGUG